AAUUAAGGGAAUUAAAAUGCUUGUUGUAAGAUGUGGAUGUGCUUUCUGUCCAUGUGUUUCCUGAGCCAGGAGUUCUCCUUACACCAGUGAAGAGAGUGAGCUCCAGUUGGACGUGUGUUCACUGAUGAAGACAUGUGCAGGCUCAGAUAUGUGGAGUGCUUCCCUAUGACUUCCAGGCUGAGCUCGGUCAUUAAGUAGCUGUGCUGCACUGCUGCUCCAGUUCAUGUCUUGUAUGCUGUGAAUGCUGUGAAAGGAGAGAGAAUGGGAAAGACUGGCUGGGGAUUGUGCAUCAGCUGGUGAUUUAUUGCACUGAGACAGUCGUUAUUGGAGGAGGAUUUACACAUAAGGAAUUCCUGGUUCCUGAUCCUUUGAGAGCUUGGAAUAUACUGAUUACAGAACCACUUGGAGAGCUGUAUUAGUAGUAAAGAUUAAGUGAUUAAUUCAGAGUUUUAACAAGGGUUUUCUUACUUUGUCUUUUACAGCACUCUUUUUCUUUCCCAACCCCACAAUGAAAGAAAACCCUUGAAUUCCUUAUCUGGGUAUUGAUGCUGAGAAGAUGAGAAGACAUCCUGUUAGGAGGGAGAAACUGUAGAUGCCGUAAGCUUUGCUCACAGUUUAGUUGCUGACUUACUGAACAUGUGAGCUGAAUCAAGGAACUUUUAAGAUGGAUUACUUAAUAGCUGUGGGUGUGCUGGGCUGCGAGUGGGUGUCUGAUGCUGAACUCAUGGAUGGAAGUGCAGACCUGAGCUGCUCAAGUCACGGCCUUCACCAGGAGCACAUAGCACGGUGCUAAUCAAGACAGGGAGGUAGUUGUGCCAAGGAUAGUCCUGAUGGUGGCUUGUUGAAUGGCCUUGCUUCACAAAGCUGUCAUGUAACUUUAAGUGCAUAAGCUUCUGGUUGGCUGUUAUGUUCAAAGCGGCCUAGGCACUGGAAAAAGCCUGAAUGUUUUUGUAUUAAGUCCGUUUUUAUUUUCAGUCAAGCUUUUUAGUGCUCUAUUUGAAGAAAUACCUAUGGAAGCUGUUGUAAAUGGUAUAUAAUGUCUGCUGGAUGAAUUUAAAUGUGGCAAUACAACAUUUAGAUGACCUCUUCUGGAAAUACUGACGUGGGAUUUUGGCACACAGUUUCUCCUUAUUAGCAAUUACAACGUGUAUGCUGAUAGAAGUAUUGAUAAUUGGAUGGUUGGAAAAGAGAAUGAUCAGUGUAGUUGUCCUCUUGUUAGUUUACCAGAUGGAAGAUGCUGCAAAAGAGUCAAGCUUUUUUUUUUCUUGAACAGAGGAAUGGAUACGUAAUGUGAACAGCAAAAUGCUUUAAAUAAAAUUCCGACAGUCUGUCA
rnacentral:lncRNA from 1 species